CUUGAUUUCAGACUUCUUCUCUCCUGAGCUGUGGACCUUUCCAAGCCCGUCAGGCUGGCGAGACAGAAAUGACAACAGGUUCAGGACUCCUGCAGCCUCGAGGGAAACCCUGCAAUAGGCAGCUCUCACACGUAAAUACCCUGCACAACCAAGAGACUCGGGAGAUGGUCGUGGAGGGAAAGAG